CCCGAGGAGGUGACUAGCUACUGAAUAAACCUAGAAAAAUUUUUAGGAAUAAAGUAUGUGGAAAAAAAUGAUACUACCAUACUAUUUAGUGUUGUCAAAAGUUGGUGCCAGAAGACUCGGUAAGGCCAAAAACGCAAACGUUAAUCAUCUUAAACAGGCGUAAAGGGUUUGUAGGCAGCUGGAAAUAUUUUUAAUUUAUAAAGCGAGGUGUAAUUAAGUAGUUUAUAAGAAGGGCUAUACCUUAAUUUACAUUUUUUAAAAAUAGAGUAAAGAUAGAAUCAAGAAGAGGUUAAUAUUACUCUUAGUGUAGGGGUUCAAUCCGUAAAAACUAAGAAGAAUACUAAAGGCGAAGGCAAUUACCCAAUAAUGAUUGACGCUCAUAAACGAAGGUUAGGAGAGGAAAGUGGAUUAGAGGCCCGUGAACCCCUUACUGUAAACGAUGAAUGGUAGUAAUUAGUAAUUAGUACUAGUUACGAGGCUAACGUGUUAACCAUUCCGCCUUGUGAGUACGAUUGCAAAGUUGAAAACAAAAAAAUUAGUCGGUCUCGAAGCAUCCAAGGGUCCC
rnacentral:rRNA from 1 species